AAAGUCCAGCCAAAGGACCGAGGUGUCCGUGUGCGGCUAAGGGGUAAGAAGGGAGGGAAGGAGAUAGGAGGAAGUGACCGUGUGCGGUGUAAGGGGUAGGUGUCGGCCGCUAGACACCACCGGCGGGGAGGGGAAGCAGUGGUAACGGUCGGCGACGCCUCCGGGACUACGCGGGGCGGGAAAGGGAAGCAGUGGUGACGGCCGGCGGCGCCUCCGGGACUACGCGGAGCGGGAAAGGGAAGCAGUCGUGGCGGCCGCCGGCGCCUCCGGGCGCUACACGGGGCGGGGAGGGGAAGCAGUGGCGACGGCCGCCCGCGCCUCCGGGCGCUACACGGGGUGGGGAGGGGAAGCAGUGGCGACGGCCGCCCGCGCCUCCGGGCGCUACACGGGGUGAGGAGGGGAAGCAGUGGCUACGGCCGCCCGCGCGUCAAGGAACUAGACGGGGCGGGGAAGCAGUGGUGACGGCCGCCCGCGCGUCCGGGAACUUGACGGGGCGGGGAAGCAGUGGUGACGGCCGCCCCGCGCGUCCGGGAACUUGACGGGGCGGGGAAGCAGUGGUGACGGCCGCCCCGCGCGUCCGGGAACUAGACGGGGCGGGGAAGAAGUAUAUUCCAGCGGCUCCACCGGCUCCUCCGCGAGUUCGAGCAGUACGCGCGGCCGCUGCGGCCCCGGGAGGUAAGAGGACUGCGUGAACGGCAGCGGCUGUACUCGCAGAGGUGGAAGAGGGCGCGCGGUACUUGAAGGGAAGGGGUGACGAGUCCUGCGGUCGUUCCAGGCCAAAGUUGAGAAUAGGGGAGCUAGGUCUACGAAACGAGAGGCUGUUGUUGAAAUUAACCAACAAGCUAAGCCAGGCCUCGUCCUCGUCCUCAAGGAAGGAAGGUACCUACUGGUGCUUCUCGAGACGCACGACACGACGACGAGCCCUGGGAGGGAAGAGUAGCGAGCAGGCCCAGGUCCAAUCAGAGAGGCUGGGGACGAACAGGGGCAGUUUAGCCACGUAUCGGAGUAAAAUAAGACGUCAGACAUAGGAAGGUCGAACAUAUGAAAAUAAGAAUAACACCUCUUUAAACAAAACACUACGUUGAUUACCCCUGUGUGUUUUUUGUGUAUUACAGCUAACGAAACUCAAUCUUCCAUAUGGGUAGACAGACGUCAGAGAAGAAUUAUGUGAGAAGGGAACCGGUACGUGACUACAAAUUCAGAAAGGUGAAUAGUCUAAAAUCAAGGUAAACUUCGAAUC
rnacentral:rRNA from 1 species